GACUAAGCAUGCUCAGUGAAAAAGCAUUUCUCCUUUGCCUGUCAAGCCCUAUGUUUGAACUCAUUCCAGGACGCUGGAUUUACUUUUCACAAAGAAACAGUACCUGGCUGGACUGCAUUUUUCCUUCCCUCCUUAGUCACUGGAAGAUUGGAAACAAUAUUCUUUUGAGGAUCAAUGCACUCUCAGUAAUGCAAUGUGCCUGCAUGCAAGUGUGAAUCUUGCAGUGGAGAAGGAAGACAAACUUUGCUACCUGUGAUACGAAGACUUCUUAGGUAGCAGUGGAAAUGAAAACAAUUUUAUUUACAGUAUUGUUCACAGAAACCACAAAUGAGUAACUUGAUGACUUCAGUGGGAAUUGCAUAUAAACAACAAAGGGAAAGGGUCAUCUGGAUUCUUCUGAAGGUAAGUGUCAGGGCCAGGAGUCUCCAUGAAAUACCCAUCCAAGACACAAGCAGAGGAUCUCACCUACUGCCUCUUCUCCAGAGAUUCCAUCCCACGUUGAGGUUUCAGGCAAGUAUCACUUUUUCCCUGGCUGGAGCUUCGCUGGUGAGUCCUUAGAAGUGCUUGCUUCUCACACAUAUAAAUUUUCUCAUUACAGUUUUCUAAUGAAUCAGAAGGCAGGCUCUUGUACCCCCCGUGUGUUCUUUCACACCCUGCCACUGGCCUGUGUGACAUUACACGCUUAUGAAUAUGGCCGGUUUGUAUAGUCCAAAAUGCAAGAACUACCCCUUAGCGAGUCAUGUCAGGAAAAGCUGAACCAUUGGGUUAUUGACCUUUUACUAAUUCCAAAUCCAUAUCCUGUUACCACCUGAGGUGCACAUAGGUAGAGCAGUAUCACUUUAAAUCACUGAUUAGGUAACCCACUGCAUUUACUGGUCUUUUAUGUUUACAAAACACCAGAACCAAGCCAUUGCAAUGAAUUUUGUAUCCAGGUAGGCUUUGCAUGCCAUGGGCGGCAUGUUUCCCAGGGUUUGUCGCUGGUUUCCAUAUGCUGCUUUAUAGAAUUAGGUAUUAUUCAAUAGGAGCAAAGCAAUUUCAGCUUGACAGGCAGAAAAUAGGAUGGUUACAUCCCUGUUAAAAGUGAAAACAUCUGAAAUAAGACAUGGAAGAACACAUUAUCUUCCACUGGGAAAAGCCUGCUUGGAGGGACUCAUUUAGCCAUGGGAAGCUGGGAAGGAAGUGUGGAGUGAAAGACUAGCCAGGCAAUUAUUCUUCUAAUAGGUAAGAUUAUGUUGGUUUUCAGUAAAUCAGUGCAAAUCUGUGGUUAACUAUGUCUGUUGAAAGAUUCUGAAUACAGAGAGUGUAAGGGGACAGACCCUUUCCUGAUGAAAACUGCUGCAGUGUUCAACAUCAAUUGGAGAUCUGCUUCAACUGCAGGAUGUGAGGCAGAUUGAAGUUGUGUAAAACUGUCAGGGACUCUGUCCUGCUUGGUCUGAUCUUCCCUGAGGCUGAGACAGUUUUAUGCUGGCAGCUUUCAUUCUUCAUUAUUCAAAACAGGUGACAUACUUUAACAAAAACAGAACUUUGAAAGCCAUUAGUAUGUUAGCACAACAGAAAACUCGCAUGUUUUCUUGUUCAACAAUAUUGGCAAGAAAGAAAAAAUAUUUUUUUCAUAAUUGUUGUUUUCUUUCUAACUCAGGGCAAUUGCUGUAUUUUGAUGUGCCUCAUGUGCUCAAACAUCAGUCUUAAUUCAGAUUUCAGAACAUCAUUUCAACUUUGCAGGGUUUCAGUUUGCCACAAGAUGAUUUCAGUAGGAAAACUAUGUGUGGUGUAACUUCAGUUUUAUUUAUAUGCUUGAAAUCUACACAACUGCUUUCUCCAACAUGUGUGUGGGAUUUCCACUUUCAUUUAUUUAUGAACCAGUGUAGUCAAGUGUGGAAGUGCUGUGCAUUGUGCUGAAAAUCGUGGACAUUAUUUUAUUUCUUUAUAUUGACUUUGACUAUGAUGAAGAACUUAACCUGGGUCUGAGUUACAGGUUUGAAGAGGACAUACACAGAUUAUGUUUCCACCUGCCACUUAUUUUUCAACAUUUUUUUCCACGCUUUAAGAGGGGACUGAAGUCUAAUGGAAGGCACUUGUCACCUUGUAGGUCCUGGUCUACUUUUUCAGUUGCUACAGAAUGUGCACUCAUUUCUGUAAGUUUGGAGGCCUGUUCAGGCUUUUAUCAAAGCAAAAAUCAAGCUCUGCCAGUUAAUUUUCCUGUCCCUCACAGGUUUUCAUUAUAUUGUCCAGCUUCAUCCUGUAUCACUUGGUGAAAUGAUAAAGGGAUGAGAUUAAGAAGCUUGAUAAUACGUUGUGCAGAGAGAAGGUAUAAUUAGCUGAGAGGACACUGAAUGCAGGAGUGAUCUGGCCCCGGAUACCUAAGAAAUGUGUCAACAUUAGGUUUAAAUGCUGAGAGUGCCAUAAACCAGUUGCAUAGAGUCAUGUUCUUCCUACAGAAUUUACCUCAGAAUUUGGUUCUGGUUGUAUCUCCCUCCAGUCUGCUGAUGAUACCUACCUUGAUAUCCAUCUCUGGUUCAUAUUCCUGCCUGUGUAUAGAAAAUUCUUCCAGUCUUUGCCAAGUCAUCACCUUCUCAACAUGCAAAUCCCUCCUAAACCCUCACUUCUUCAGUAUUGACACCUUGAAAUUAUUUAUUCUUCUAAUGUAUCUGCAUAUUUGUCAAGGCCGUAGAGAGAUUAGCUAGUCUGUGGGCACGUAUCUAAUGAACUGUGUGGUAUUUUCACUGUAACCAUGGUGGUUCUUCCCUCAUUUGUUUAACUUUCUUGUUUUGCUUGUUUUGUUGUGAAAGAAGCUGAUAAACUGCUUGAGUCAGGACAUCAUAUCAAGUGAUUUAAUUUAUUCUUGUUAUAAAUUCUGAAUUCUGUAUAAAUAAUAGGUAAGCUAUAGGUACAAGCUGCAGCUCUGAAAAAUGCCCAGUUGGCAUUAAGAUUCUGCAAGACACAGUGGGCAAUGGGAAUCAAAUAGUGGUGGUGAUUACCAGUGGAGGAUUAUGUCUUGCUGAAAGCAACGAAGUCGAUGAGGGACUGGAUAAAGCCCUGCGUGACUUGGUUUGAUGUCAGAGCUAACCUGCAUUGAGCAGGAGGUUGGACUAGAGACCUCCCAAGGUCCUUUCCAACCUGAAUUAUCCUAUGAUUUGGUGGAUGUAGGUGGCCUGAUGCUGGGGAAUUAUGAACAUCCAAACCCAUUAACUCAGGCCAGUGGAAGGAGCAGGAAAUGUGGCCUGUUAAAGUUUUUACCCAUGAGCACUGAACUUGUAUGUAGUGCCACCUUUUCUACUGGCAGCUUGUUAUUGCUGUGCGCGAUGUUAGGCAAAUCCAUUAGAAGCAGCCUCAUCUCUGGUAUAAGAGAGUAAUUCAGACUAAUACUUACCAACUACUGGGGCAUGCUGAGGUGGGAUCUGGGUAGAGGGUAACUCCCCAGCUGCACCUGCAGAAGUGAGGCAAAAUUGUUGUGGAGGUCUGCCAUUCCUUAGGCUCCAGGUUGAUGGAACAUGGUAGAUGGAUGACCAGCUGAUGCUAUCAUGGGCUCUGUUGUGGGAGGCUGGCUGGGGCAGGGCUGUGGAGAUACCAUAGACUGAGGCCAAGCCAAGAAGGGGUCAGAACAUUGGGUGGAGUAAUAUACCUGUUCAAUCAAAUUUCUUUUUUUCUCCUUGGAGAGUAUUCUCGUAUCUAAAGGUCCUGAAAUCUGCCUUGUGUGCAAAUGUCACACUGCCCCAUCUGCCUAUCUGAGAAAUAUGCAUUUUCUAUUUACAUAUUUUAUAUUUUAUUGUUUGUUUUUUGGAUUUUUUUUUUCUUUUUAGUUACUGCAUGUGUUCCAUCUUUGAAUUAUCAGGCAACAUAUUAAUAUCUGGUAGAAUAAAUAAUCUACCAAACACUGAAUGUCUGAAAGAAUCUCUGUUAAAGAUCUUAUAGGACAAGUUGCAGGUUUGUGGCUCCUACAGGAAGAAACUUGCUUAGCCUUUCUCUUACAUGAUUUUACAUUAUCCAUAUCAUUAUAUCUACUAAAUUCCCAAUACCUGGAGCUGCAGAAGGUGCCUUCUGCCCAUACUUCUCUGGCUGGUGGGACUACUGCUUUUUUCCCACACAAUAUAGGGGCACAGUCCUCACAGUGCCUACAUGUGACAAACCUGUGAUGGGGAAGAAGAAGGGAUCUCACAACAAGACUGCAUCUGUCAGAUUGACUUUUUUUUUCGAGCUGCAGCUGGUAUAAGUCACACCCCUCAGUCUGUCUUUGAUGAUAGGCCUAUGCUUCUUGAGCAAAGUGGAUCUAGCUUUCUGGGAGAAUUCAGCUGUACAAAUCUCAUGUUUCUGACAUAAAGACGGGCUUUGGGAAUAAGUCUAGAUCAUGGAACAUUUCUUCAUUGUAAUAGUUGCCCUUAUAGUUAUAGC